AAUCUAAUAACGAGAAUUUAUGUACGAUGAUGAAUGUGAUAU
rnacentral:guide_RNA from 1 species